CGCGUAGGUGGCCUUCUAAGUCGAACGUGAAAUCCCUGGGCUCAACCCAGGAACUGCGUCCGAUACUGGAAGGCUUGAAUCCGGGAGAGGGAUGCGGAAUUCCAGGUGUAGCGGUGAAAUGCGUAGAUAUCUGGAGGAACACCGGUGGCGAAGGCGGCAUCCUGGACCGGCAUUGACGCUGAGGCUCGAAGGCAGGGUAGACGGAAAG
rnacentral:rRNA from 1 species